UGCAGGUAUGCGUGGGAACUACUUAGGUCGCUCGUAAGAGUGGCAGCCCCAAGCGGGUGGGAUCCUAAGUCCCGGGACCUGCAAUCAG
rnacentral:sRNA from 12 species